rnacentral:rRNA from 1 species
GCGAACGGUCGCGUAACACGUGGGCAACCUGCCCUGAAGCGGGGGACAACAACUCGAAGGAGUUGCUAAUACCGCAUGGGGAUCGCUCUGGCAUCAGAGAUUAUCCAAAGCCUUCGGGCACUUCAGGAUGGGCCCGCGGUUAUCAGCUUGUUGGUGAGGUAACGGCCCACCAAGGCUUCGACGGGUAGCUGGUCUGAGAGGACGAUCAGCCGGAUUGGGACUGAGAUACGGCCCAGACUCCUACGGGGGGCAGCAAUUAGGAAUCUUGCACAAUGGGCGAAAGCCUGAUUGCAGCGACGUCGCGUGAGGGAUGAAGUCUUUCGGGACGUAAACCUCUUUUAUCGGGGAAGAAACAAAUGACGGUACCCGGUGAAUAAGCCCCGGCUAACUACGUGCCAGCAGCCGCGGUAAUACGUAGGGGGCCAGCGUUGUCCGAAGUUACGGGGCGUAAAGAGCGCGUAGGCGGGUUUUUAAGUGAGGGGUGAAAGGUUCAGGGCUCAACCCGGACACUGCCUUUCAUACUGGGAACCUUGAGUAUGGGAGAGGCGAGUGGAAUUCUUGGUGUAGCGGUGAAAUG